GAUGAACGCUAGCGGCAGGCCUAAUACAUGCAAGUCGAACGGUGUCUUCGGACAUAGUGGCGCACGGGUGCGUAACACGUAUGUAACCUACCUUACAUUGGGGGAUAGCCUUUCGAAAGGGAGAUUAAUACCGCAUAAGACAGUAGCUGGGCAUCCAGCAGCUGUUAAAGAUUUAUCAAUGUAAGCUGGGCAUGCGUCCAAUUAGCUAGUUGGUGAGGUAACGGCUCACCAAGGCAAUGAUUGGUAGGGGAACUGAGAGGUCAAUCCCCCACCCUGACACUGAGAUACGGGCCAGACUCCUACGGGAGGCAGCAGUAGGGAAUAUUGGGCAAUGGACGCAAGUCUGACCCAGCCAUGCCGCGUGCAGGAUGAAGGCGUUAUGCGUUGUAAACUGCUUUUAUACAGGAAGAAACGACUCUUGCGAGAGGCAUUGACGGUACUGUAUGAAUAAGCACCGGCUAACUCCGUGCCAGCCGCCGCGGUAACAC
rnacentral:rRNA from 1 species